AGUCUUUUAUUCAUUACUGUGAUAGUAGAAUGCAAUUCUAAAGGGGUGGGGAAAACCACUAAGGCUU
rnacentral:tRNA from 1 species